AUAAAAGUGAAUGUAUACUUACAGCGCUGACAACCACUAAGCUCAGGAGUUAAGUGACAGCCUGGGGAGGAGCCCAGGGAGGGGCAGAGAGCAUAGCGUGUGGCACCUGCGGUUUCAGGCAUGUCCUGGUGCCCAGGCCCCUCGCCUAGCAGAAACCAGAGCCACAGGGCCGUGACCGUGGCCGAGUAACUGACCGUGCGCGACUCCGUGGUCAGACCCAGGACUGCUGCGCGCACUAGCUACCCACAGCGCACCGCGGCGCGCACGCGUAGAGCGCCGUUCCCGGCGUGCAGCGUUGCGGCCCAGGCGGCCGUCUUAGUCUGCCCCGCAGGGCCGGUGGGGCACGAGCAGCGGGAACAUGGCUCUAAAACGGAUCCAGAAGGAACUGACUGAUUACAGAGGGAUCCCCCUGCUCAGUGUUCUGCGGGACCUGUGGGUGAUGACUGUUGCUUUCACUACCAGAAUCUAUCACCCUAAUAUCAACAGCAAUGGCAGCAUUUGCCUGGACAUCCUGAGGUCACAGUGGUCCCCAGCACUGACUGUGUCUAAAGGUAGAGACACUGGCAUGGACUGAGCAUGCUGGUCUACUGGUCCCCCUUGCUGACUAGUGGACACGGAAGCUGAGGAAGAACAGAUGGCUUCCCCAGAUCACAUAGCCCUGCCCAGUCCUGUGACUCCCUCAUUCUCCAUGCUGUAAGGCGAUGAGGGCAUUGCGAAGCACAGUUCCCAUGCCAGUAAUUCUCAGCCAUCAGCUGUUCUGUGAUGCUCCGAACUGUCACCUGGGUACAAGAAGAUAGCAUCAACUUUACUUGCAUUUUCACCUAAAAGUCGGAAAGCAAAUAUGAAACUUUUUUUCAUCUGCAGACCAGCAGACUGUAAAACAGACUAGCAAGAGAGUGGACACAGAAAUAUGCUAUGUAAGUGCCUCGAAGGCUCCAUGGAAGACCCUGUCCAAGAGAAGCUCGCCCCACAGAGUGACCUUCCUGUGAAGCUCUGAGCUCUUGGCUAAGGCACUCUCGGAACAUCCUGUGUUCACACAUGUGUUGGCACUCACCUCUGUGGCUGCAGCAUGUUGGUGCCACUUUUAGCCAUUGUGGCCUUGACAGUACCACACCUUUGAUACUAAAUCAGCAACCACUGUUAUGAUCUACAGUCUUCCUGGUUACACUAGAAUCUGUCUGGGGAAUCAAGCCAUGCAUGCCUCCUGUACUUGUCCUCAAAUGGUGCCACUACUCACUGUGACACUCUAGAGGGGCCCAGUCUGCCCCCUGACCACCUGCCCUUUGCCUUUAGAGCACAGUGAUUUCCUAGGGGCCCAGACAGAGUGGGCUCUCUUCAUACUUUGUCUGCCACAGAACCAUGUCCUAAGGAGUGCCACUAUGUCCUGGAGGCUCCUAGAAAUUGGAACAGCCUCCCCUGAAAGCCAUCUUCCGCCACGUUCCUCCAUAGUGCUCCAUGCUGCAAACAGCAAGCGAGGAGCAUUGGGGCAUUUAAAGCACAUAACACCCAAGGAAGAAUGGGAUUCUCAGACAAGGGGAGAUUCGGGUUAUGCUUGUGUAUGUAAUGAGGCUUCCUCUACCGUCUUCCCACUGGAAACUUAACGUGAAAUUCAAGCAUAAGCCAUUCACAAACUGGAACACAAGGAAGGAAUGGGACUUUAAAUGGUAAUAAAAAUGGUCAUUCCUUCAGAAGUGACAAUUGACAUUUAAGUUUCCUUUUUUUCUCUUAGAAGAAAAUAAACAUAACAGGUCCUUUUUUUUUUUUUUUUUUUUUUUAAGAUUUAGUUUGGGCUGGUGAGAUGGCUCAGUGGGUAAGAGCACCCGACUGCUCUUCCGAAGGUCCGGAGUUCAAAU
rnacentral:lncRNA from 1 species